AUUCCUUAAUUUUUUAACUAAAAUCAGGUAUAGUAUCUGUUGCUAUCAGUUUUAUAUCUGAUAUGUCCUUGUUCUGCUGACAAUAUGUUAAUGGGAUUUUGGAGCAGGGAGAUAGAGCAGGAGCUUCUGCCCAUGCCAUACCUUGAUUUGGUGGUAUUUCAAUGCUGCCAGGAGCAGUGGUCCCCAC
ensembl:snRNA U2 U2 spliceosomal RNA